rnacentral:lncRNA from 1 species
ACACCAGAUUCGUGCCCUCCCCCGAGUUCUGGCCAGGAGGCUUCUCAACAGGUUACAAAGUUCAGCUGGAGACUUCCUUCUCCCUGUGGCAUUUUCCCUGCACUGCUGGCCAUCCUCCCAAAGGAUCCCUGUGGUGCCAGGCAGGAAUGGCCUGCUUGGGACCCAGCGAGCUCCCAGGGCCUUUCCCACUGCUUCCUCCACCCCUGUAUUUCACUCGGCUCUCUAAAUUGACUCGGCUCCAGAUCAUGAAAGUGACAGACAUUCAUCAUCCUUUUGGAAAAUACAGUAAAGUAGGAGGAACAUACAGAUUUCCCUUACUCGUAUCCACACAGGACUGUUGUUCUUUUCAUGUAUAGUCUAUUUCCAGGUGUCUGUAUGCCUGUGGAUAAACGUUUGUUCAUUAGUUAGCUGGGUUGGGAUCAUCUGGUAGGAUUUUUGCACUUAACUACCUGCUAUAGUCAGAAUGUUUGCGUCCCCGCCACAUUCAUAUGUUGAAACCUAACCCCCAAGGUGGUGGUAUUAGGAGUGGGUGCUACUGGGCGGUGAUUAGGUCAUGAGGGCAGAGCUCUCAAGCAUGGGUUUAGUGUCCCUCGAGAGGAGGCCCUGGAGAACCCCUGGCCCCUUCUACCAGGUGAGGACACAGGGAGAAGGUGUCACCUGUGAACCAGGAAAAAGGUCCUCACUAGACACUGAAUCAGCCGACACCUUGAUCUUGGCCCCCACCCCUUCCAAAACUGUGAAAAAUAAAUUUGUUUAUAAGCCCCCAUGUUUAUGGCACGGUGUCAUGGCAGCUGCCCAAACAAACCAAGACACUAUCUGUUGUGAGCAUUUUCCCGUGGUUUUCAACCGCAUAAUUUGUAAUGGUCGCAUAGCCUCCCAUCAUAUGAAUGUAUUGUAAUUUAUUUAACAGAUUGCUUAUUGUUAGACAUGCAUUAAUAUAAAUCCUGAGAUAUAAUCUGGGCAUCAAUCUAGACAAACGAGCUCCAAAGCUUUAGUUUAGCUCUGCCCUUAGGGCAGUAUUGGAAGCUGUAAAGACAGCUGUGAGCUGGAGCAGUCCCGAGGCACCCGCAUGCAGGUGUGCCGGGAAAGCCUGUGGUGGCCCAAAAGGCGUCAUCAGCUGUCAGAGGGAGCAGUCUUCAAAGGCCAACAAUCAAGCUUAGUGCCAGGAAGCACAGCUCCUGCACAUGGCCCGCAGCCCUCUCAGGACAGAAGAACUGGGUGCAGCAGGCCUCACGUG